rnacentral:misc_RNA from 1 species
CAGUUAGUAAGUUUUUCCCAACUUGAAGGGCACCUACUUGAAGUGAAAGGCACUCCUUGAUUAAAGGAAAGAAAACUUCUAAUAGCCAGCGGAAAAAAGGAAAGAAAUCCUAACUUUCAAGAAAAAGGAGAGUGGAAGUCUUGCCUAAAAGCAAGUUCACAGAAAAAACAAUAUCCAGAAUCUCUAUAAAUCACCCAUGAUCUUGAACAAGAGGUCGUUUGGUAUCAAUUCGGUGCUAAGUAGCCACGCAUACAAAGAUGGCGAAGAAGAGAUAUGCUAACUGCUAAGAAUAGGCAAAAAGGCCCAUCCGCUUUUGUACUCUAUUAUUUGGGACAACAUAUUAUCAAUUUUUUUAGUUACAGCGGAAUGAAAGUAGAGUAAACAGAAAACACAUUACAAUUUACAAAUGAGAAAAAGACGACACUCGCUUCUGUUGAGUAGUAAACUGGACUCUAAAUAAUGCAUGAACAGGUUCUAGAGAAAGCCCAGCACAUAGAAAGACAUGCUCUUGACAUUUUCAGACGGUACUCAUGAUCAAUCACUCCACUUGGACUUCAAAUUCCACAAGCUUACACGCGUAUACGUAGACAGAGAUAUCCAUAUAUGAUAAACAUUAUGCUGUGGGUUUAUCUUUGGGAUCGGGUUUGGGUUCGUAAUUGAGAGAUUUCCAUAUGGCAUAAAACAUGGAUGGUACAUAAAUGGAGAGAGCAAGAAGUACUAUUCCACACAGUGAUCCAACGGCGCGAUAAGCAUAUACGCUUCCACAGGACAGCUUCCCAAUCCUUAUCUGGAUGACAUUAGCCAUGGAAAGUGCCAAAAACACAACCCCAACAAUUGAUGCGAUUGCUGAUAAGUAUAGCAUAAAGCCUCUUCCCAACUUAAGAUGCCAUUGUUUGAAUUCAUCUUCUUGGUAAAUAUUGAGAUGAACCUUGAGUGUCUUGGCUACCAAGCUUGAUAGGAGGAAGCAAGCGAAGGAUAUAACUUCGUAAAGGAUGAGCCUCAUAGCCAUUCCUGGGUCUGCAUCACACUCAGGUCGGUUUUCAAGGCUGUGUUGGCCUGGAGAGGCAAAGGACAAGCCCACGAACACGGCUAUUGUAAAGAGAGAAUUAACGUUCACCAAGUCAUCUAAUGCUUUUUGAUGGAUUUCUAUACUAUCAAUUGGCUUUUUCCCAUCUGUUUGAUCCCCAGCCAUGAUUCUUCUUUUAGCUGGUGUUGCAGUCUUUACAAGUAUCUUUUGGGUUUGGAAGGCUUCCUCGAGCUCUUUAUAUAUAAUUAAGGAGUGUUAAAGAAAUUAUAUAGCAAAAUUGAUGUAUGUAGAAUGGUUUUAGUCAUUGAUAGGACCAAAUAGAAGUUUCAAAUAU